GCUGGGUCUGGUAGUGCAGACCUGUAAUCCCAGCAACUGGAGAGGCUGAGGCAGGAGGAUUCCAAGUUCAAAGCCUCAGCAACUGAACAAGGCCCUAAGCAACUUAGUGAGACUCUGUCUUUA
rnacentral:sRNA from 1 species